GACGAACGCUGGCGGCGUGCUUAACACAUGCAAGUCGAACGGAAAGGCCCUGCUUUUGUGGGGUGCUCGAGUGGCGAACGGGUGAGUAACACGUGAGUAACCUGCCCUUGACUUUGGGAUAACUUCAGGAAACUGGGGCUAAUACCGGAUAGGAGCUCCUGCUGCAUGGUGGGGGUUGGAAAGUUUCGGCGGUUGGGGGUGGACUCGCGGCUUAUCAGCUUGUUGGUGGGGUAGUGGCUUACCAAGGCUUUGAUUGGUAGCCGGCCUGAGAGGGUGACCGGCCACAUUGGGACUGAGAUACGGCCCAGACUCCUACGGGAGGCAGCAGUGGGGAAUAUUGCACAAUGGGCGGAAGCCUGAUGCAGCAACGCCGCGUGCGGGAUGACGGCCUUCGGGUUGUAAACCGCUUUCGCCUGUGACGAAGCGUGAGUGACGGUAAUGGGUAAAGAAGCACCGGCUAACUACGUG
rnacentral:rRNA from 1 species